rnacentral:misc_RNA from 1 species
UUCAGUAAGUGUAAAAAAUCACCUCUUUGAAAAAAAUUUGUGUCCACUAAGUAAUAUUUUCAUCGUUACAUUUCACCAUUACAAUCAAAUUCGCAUGGGAUGGUGGUUAAGGACUCUAGAUAUUUAUGGAUAUGAGUAUGUCGGUUCAAGUCUAUUUUAUGUAAUGUUAUCAAUGUGAGUUUAUUUUAUCUCUAAGUGAAAAUGUUAAUUCCGUUUAUAAUUUUUUACGUAAAUGAUUAAUUCAAUUAACUACAAGAUCAAGAAGAAAAUUUUUCGUUAACAUGAUAAUAAAACUUAUAUUUUUUUAACAUACUACUUUUUUUUUACAACUCAAUUGCCAUAUAGGGCUGUUUGACAUCUUUUUUGACAUUUGUUGCCAUCGCGGCAAUGCAGCAAUCGAUGGUAGAUUUCGUCUGCUUCGACACGAAUUGUGAUUUCACAUCAAGAGAAUGUAUAGCAAUUACAGAAUGUGUAAAUGUCGAAUUGUUGCAACAGAAAAAGCGGAACUAUCUAAUUAUUCAGUCUGCCGAAGGACAGGGAAAGAAGAGAGUUGUGGUUGGAGAGGAUGAACAUAAAUUUUAUCAACGAUAUCCAAAAAAACCUGUAUGUGUGUUCACUUCAUUUUGUAACAGGAAAGCCAAGUGGUCAAUUCAACCACAAACAUGUUGAUUGGGCACCGUCUAUCAAUUUGGGAUUUAAAAAGCCAAAACUACAUUUAGUUGGUGACCAAGUAGUUCAAGCAAAUUAAAACAGCGCUGAGCAUCCACCCAUUGCAUUGAUGGAUGUUUUAUUACCUGAAGAUACUGUGGGAAGUGACUGUAAUUCACCCAUAACGUUGAUUACUGUUUCUUCAUCUGCUGAAUCGCCAAUGGAAAUGCAUGAUGAACCCUCAAUUGACGCCGAACAAAAUAUCUCAGCAUGUCCUCUAUUAGAAACAUCACCUGUGUUAAACAAUUGCUGUGAACCCGUUACUGAUCCAGAGUUCGCUUCUAAUGAUUCAUCUGAAAUCAAUCCUGUAAAUCAAUUGAUAGAUUUAAUUGAGCAGCUUAACAUUUUAAAAGAAAAGUUAAGCGUUGUUGAAGACCAACUUGUGCAUGCUAAUAAUAGUAUUUUAGAACUCAAUUGUAAAUUAAGUACUUCAAACAAUAGAAUUGCGUUGCUAGAAAAAUCGUUAGAACAGCGACCAACAGUUGAGGAGACCAUUAAGAAUGUACCUAAUGCUGUAGGAUUUUAUACUGGUAUUGAUAGCUAUGAGAAACUAUGGAUGAUGUACAGUAUCCUGCACAAAAAGGUGAACACCGAUUUAUUUUGAAAAAGCCAUCUGUGGGUAGAAAAAAUUAAUAGUUUACCUUUUUAAGGAGACGUAGGGUGGUUUUGGCGCAAAAUCAUUAUAAGGGGGUUUGGGUAAUAUCAGUCCAGACAGCUAUUUUUUGCCCUAAGUAUUAAAUGUCUGGAAAAAGUGUAGACUGUUUAUCGGUAGACUCCCCUACCCCCCGGCUAAGUAGAACAAUUUUUGCAAUACAAAAUAG